GUGCAGCAGGCGAGAAUCCUCCACAAUGUGGGCAACCACGAUGGGGGAACUCCAAGUGGAUGCACUUUGUGCAUUCUGUUCUCGAGCCUAAAAAGCUCGAGAAGUAAGGGCCGGGUAAGACGGGUGCCAGCCGCCGCGGUAAUACCCGCGGCCCGAGUGGUGCUCAUUAUUAUUGAGCCUAAAGCGUCCGUAGCUGGCCGGGCAAAUCUCCGGGUAAAUCGGGCAGCUCAACUGUCCGAAUUCCGGAGACACUGCUCGGCUUGGGAUCGGGAGAGGGUGAAGGUACUCCCUGUGUAGGGGUAAAAUCCUGUAAUCCGGGGGGGACCACCAGUGGCGAAGGCGUUCACCUAGAACGAAUCCGACAGUGAGGGACGAAGCCCUAGGGCGCAAACGGGAUUAGAUACCCCUGUAGUCC
rnacentral:rRNA from 1 species